GACGAACGCUGGCGGCGUGCUUAACACAUGCAAGUCGAGCGAUGAAAUUCCUUCGGGAAUGGAUUAGCGGCGGACGGGUGAGUAACACGUGGGUAACCUGCCUCAUAGAGGGGAAUAGCCUUCCGAAAGGAAGAUUAAUACCGCAUAAGAUUGUAGUACCACAUGGUACAGCAAUUAAAGGAGUAAUCCGCUAUGAGAUGGACCCGCGUCGCAUUAGCUAGUUGGUGAGGUAACGGCUCACCAGGGCGACGAUGCGUAGCCGACCUGAGAGGGUGAUCGGCCACAUUGGGACUGAGACACGGCCCAGACUCCUACGGGAGGCAGCAGUGGGGAAUAUUGCACAAUGGGGGAAACCCUGAUGCAGCAACGCCGCGUGAGUGAUGACGGUCUUCGGAUUGUAAAACUCUGUCUUCAGGGAUGAUAAUGACGGUACCUGAGGAGGAAGCCACGGCUAACUACGUGCCAGCAGCCGCCGUAA
rnacentral:rRNA from 1 species